UCCGGAGGGCGCAAUCGUUGUUCGGAAUUACUGGGCGUAAAGCGCGUGUAGGCGGCCAGGUAAGUCGGAUGUGAAAGCCCGGGGCCCAACCCCGGAACUGCACCCGAUACUGCCCGGCUGGAGUCCCGGAGAGGAUGGCGGAAUUUCCGGUGUAGAGGUGAAAUUCGUAGAUAUCGGAAGGAACACCAGUGGCGAAGGCGGCCAUCUGGACGGUGACUGACGCUGAGACGCGAAAGCGUGGGGAGCAAACAGG
rnacentral:rRNA from 1 species